rnacentral:misc_RNA from 1 species
UCUCCGUAGGUGAACCUGCGGAGGGAUCAUUACUGAGUCCAUCCCAUACCCGGAAGCCUGCCCACCCACCUUUUGUACUACUUUGUUGCUUUCGCCGGCCGUCAUGCUCCGGCCCCACUACCAGCCCCGGCUGGUGAGCACCCGCCAGAGGACCCAAAACCCUGCAUAUUCUUGUCGUCUGAGUACUAUAUAAUAGUUAAAUCUUUCAACAACCGCUCUCUUCUUUCUGGCAUCGAUGAAGAACGAAACAGGUCGGAAGCGCACACGUCUGCACUCCAC